UCGAGCUGUUUUGGGUCAGGCAGUCUAACAAUAGGAGUGGCUCCCGGCCUACACGUCUCUGAGCUCCCAGGGCGCUGGACGGAAAAGGUUUGGACAUUGGCACUUCUACCUAAAUAAGUUAGUAGGCUUCUGAACCAGAGGACAUCUGCUAAGGACAGAGAGUGGAUUCUGUUUCCGAGUGUGCUGGAUGGGCAGCUCAGAUGUCGCACUCGCUGUCGCUGGACGUGAUGGAGAUGGCCGAAGUGGCGG